GCAGGCGCAAUUACUCGCUUAACAACAACAGUAGCCAACAAGACAAAAGCUACAAGCUAACGGCGAAAAUGUUGACUGAACGUCUCCUAAACAGAGGUGUAGUCAGUGAAUGCAGCACCAUACAGACAGUGAUGGAGAUGAGCCACAUCACAUGGACUGUGAAAGGAAUGACACUUCCAGUGUCAGUAUGGACUUUCAUAUUAGAUGUUCUGCUGCCUCAGUGGAUGAGAUGAUGGAGAUGGAGGAACAUCCUACAGAAGUGAUACCAACACCUCCACUGCUCUGAUGCUGCUGGAUUGCGAGGAUGAAGUCCUGGAAUUGGAGGACCAUCAUACAGACCUACUGAUGCUGCUGGGUGAGAUAUUUUAUCUUUAUUACUGAAAAGCUUUUUUG